UCAGGCUCAGGACGAACGCUGGCGGCGUGCCUAAUACAUGCAAGUCGAGCGGACAGAAGGGAGCUUGCUCCCGGAUGUUAGCGGCGGACGGGUGAGUAACACGUGGGUAACCUGCCUGUAAGACUGGGAUAACUCCGGGAAACCGGAGCUAAUACCGGAUAGUUCCUUGAACCGCAUGGUUCAAGGAUGAAAGACGGUUUCGGCUGUCACUUACAGAUGGACCCGCGGCGCAUUAGCUAGUUGGUGAGGUAACGGCUCACCAAGGCGACGAUGCGUAGCCGACCUGAGAGGGUGAUCGGCCACACUGGGACUGAGACACGGCCCAGACUCCUACGGGAGGCAGCAGUAGGGAAUCUUCCGCAAUGGACGAAAGUCUGACGGAGCAACGCCGCGUGAGUGAUGAAGGUUUUCGGAUCGUAAAGCUCUGUUGUUAGGGAAGAACAAGUGCAAGAGUAACUGCUUGCACCUUGACGGUACCUAACCAGAAAGCCACGGCUAACUACGUGCCAGCAGCCGCGGUAAUACGUAGGUGGCAAGCGUUGUCCGGAAUUAUUGGGCGUAAAGGGCUCGCAGGCGGUUUCUUAAGUCUGAUGUGAAAGCCCCCGGCUCAACCGGGGAGGGUCAUUGGAAACUGGGAAACUUGAGUGCAGAAGAGGAGAGUGGAAUUCCACGUGUAGCGGUGAAAUGCGUAGAGAUGUGGAGGAACACCAGUGGCGAAGGCGACUCUCUGGUCUGUAACUGACGCUGAGGAGCGAAAGCGUGGGGAGCGAACAGGAUUAGAUACCCUGGUAGUCCACGCCGUAAACGAUGAGUGCUAAGUGUUAGGGGGUUUCCGCCCCUUAGUGCUGCAGCUAACGCAUUAAGCACUCCGCCU
rnacentral:rRNA from 1 species